GCAGUGGUGUCCAGUGGUAGAAUCCUCACCUUCCAUGUGGGAGACCUGGGUUCAAUUCCCAGCCAGUGCA
rnacentral:tRNA from 1 species